rnacentral:rRNA from 1 species
GACGAACGCUGGCGGCGUGCCUAAUACAUGCAAGUCGAGCGAAUUUACGAGAGCUUGCUCUCGUAAAUUAGCGGCGGACGGGUGAGUAACACGUGGGCAACCUGCCUAUAAGACUGGGAUAACUUCGGGAAACCGGAGCUAAUACCGGAUAAUUCACAUCUACUCAUGUAGAUGUGCUGAAAGACGGUUUACGCUGUCACUUAUAGAUGGGCCCGCGGCGCAUUAGCUAGUUGGUGAGGUAACGGCUCACCAAGGCCACGAUGCGUAGCCGACCUGAGAGGGUGAUCGGCCACACUGGGACUGAGACACGGCCCAGACUCCUACGGGAGGCAGCAGUAGGGAAUCUUCCGCAAUGACGAAAGUCUGACGGAGCAACGCCGCGUAGUGAUGAAGGUUUCGAUCGUAAAACUCUGUUGUUAGGAAGAACAGUACCAGAGUAACUGCUGGUACCUUGACGGUACCUAACCAGAAAGCC